CUUCAGCAGACUCUACCUACUGCUCUCCUGGUUUUGAAACCAAAUUUUCAAUCCUGGGAAACAAACUUGUGAUUAAAAACUUCAGAGCAGAGGACUGCAGGCUUUACUUCUGUGGCAUCAGGAGAAAUGACAGCAUUCAUUUUGUUGAGACUUUCCACAUCGUCUCAGAUAUCCCUACAACCUCUGACUCUGAUAGUGGAGUGUUGCAGAGGAACACUAUCCUCGUCAGCUCAUUGAGCCUGAACGUUGUGCUCAUUUUAGUAAUCUGUCUGAGUUGUGUAUCGCUGUCUCUGAAGAGGAGAAUCAGCAAGUAUCAGGUUAACCUCCCUCCAGCUGGAACCAGUGAGAGGCUGGAGACUCCACAGUACGAGGAGAUCCAGCUCCCCCCUCCAUCUGCUGCUCCGCUUCAAGAGUGUGUUUACUACAAAAUUCAGCUUCCUCACUCCACACUACCUCAAAGCUGAUGGACACACCUGUACAGGUGGAUGAUACCUGCUGGAUUCAGAUUUUGUGGACAGACGUCAGUCUGAUAACUGAAGACUUGCUGCUCCUCUGCUCGUGGGAGGAUUUCUUUUUCCUCCUGUCUGGUUUGAGUUGUUGGACCAAAAGAAUGUAAAGUUCUGAAGACUUUCCACAAACUUGACAAAACUGCUGUAAGAUUAGUUUUAGUCAGGCACAAUCUGCUCUGCCUCUGAGCUGAGAUGGACCCAAGAAUGUGACAACCUUUAGCCAAACCUGCUUUAAGGUGCUUAAGGAUUUAAAACCAUAACUCAAUGCUGCUGUGAAAACCUGUAAAUCUGAGACUC